rnacentral:lncRNA from 1 species
CUGAUUUGUAGUUACAGAUGUUGAGCUGAAACGACUCAAAGAUGCCUUCAAGAGGACCUGUGGACUCUCAUAUUACAUGAGCCAGCACUGCUUCAUCAGGGAAGUGCUUGGGGAUGGAGUCCCUCCUAAAGUUGCUGAGGUGAUUUACUGUUCUUUUGGUGGAACAUCCAAAGGGCUGCAUUUCAACAACUUAAUAGUUGGACUCGUCCUCCUUACAAGAGGCAAAGAUGAAGAGAAAGCAAAAUAUAUUUUUAGUCUUUUUUCAAGUGAAUCUGGGAGCUAUGUUGUGCGGGAAGAAAUGGAAAGAAUGCUCCAUGUGGUGGACGGUAAAGUCCCAGAUACACUCAGGAAGUGCUUCUCGGA